GCCAAACUGUCCGACGGCCGAUUAUCAGGUGUCUAUAGUCAAACCUGCAACAGAGUGACAGAGGAACUGUCAGUCAGUGGGAACAUGGAAUGCCUUACCUUCAUGUUGGUCCUCCCCCUAGACCAGAGGAGCAGCUAUGAGUUUAACAGCAGCAGCGAGUGGAUUUGUUGUCUUCCUUCUCUCUGUACAAGUGAUACAGGGUCAGGAUGGCUGGGGAGUGACUUACACCUCUACUCAGAUCUGUGCUGUUGAAGGAUCAACAGUGAACAUACGCUGCAGCUACACAUACCCAUACUUGA